UACGUAGGUGGCGAGCGUUGUCCGGAUUUACUGGGUGUAAAGGGCGAGUAGGCGGACUGUCAAGUCAGAUGUGAAAUCCCGAGGCUCAACCUCGGAACUGCAUUUGAAACUGACGGUCUUGAGUGCUGGAGAGGAAAGCGGAAUUCCUAGUGUAGCGGUGGAAUGCGUAGAGAUCGGGAGGAACACCAGUGGCGAAGGCGGCCUGCUGGACCAUUCCUGACACUCAGACGCGAAAGCUAGGGUAGCAAACGGGAUUAGAUACCCGUGUA
rnacentral:rRNA from 1 species